rnacentral:tRNA from 2 species
GGGGAAGUGCUGGAAUUGGCAGACAGGCAUGACUUAGGAUCAUGUGCCGCAAGGCGUGAGGGUUCAAGUCCCUCUUUCCCCACCA